rnacentral:lncRNA from 1 species
AGUCCCGGCCAGCCGCGCGUGCGGGGAGGUCAGGGAGGACUCUCCCAGGCGCCGGGCCGCGUCCCUGCCGCGAUCUCCUUUGCUUCCUGGCGGUUUCGGGAUGAGAAGGAGCGUUCGCGGAGAGUGGAUUUCAGGAUUCCUCUAAGAAGCUUUGGAAUGCCAGAAGAUACCACAAGUGAGAAGAAAAAAUAAAACAAGAGGAAGGAUAUACUUCCCAUAAGGGGACAAAGUACAGCCGCAGUGUCCUCCGCUUGGGCCAUGGAACAGCUGCAGGUUUUGCCCUGAUUACCCUGGUGGUAAAGUCUGAUUGGCUAUGAUUCCCGGUGUCCAGAAGAUAAACACGGGCGGUGCAGCGGAGCCACACGCAUGCCUGUGCAUGGCCACGCCAGGUGUCCUACGGGCCUGAUGGAAAGGUGGCAGGCGAAAUGCACCUGGCCUCAGCGUCAGGGGCUGUGAAUGCAGUAGCACUUGUAGCUAUGAGGUCAGAGUGGACUAGGAUGGUCCUUCCACCAAGAAGCCUGGGCCUUCCUGCUCUUCGUUGUCCAGCUGCAGAAACUGAUCUCAUCCCUCAGGGCUUGGCACAACUGCCCCUUCCUCCUCACAUUCCCAAAUAUACCUACCCCUCCCCAACUCAAUCCUCCUCACCAGACUGUGGCUCCAGGAUGACAGGGCAGAGUUGGACUCACCUGUGUCUGCCAGGCCAGCUCACCGUGGGGGCAGGUCCCAAGAGGCCUCUGGAUUUGGACCAACUUCCAGUGUGACCUUGAACAAGGCCUUCGCCUCCCUCAGCCUCCGUUGCAUGAGGGGUUGUGCUGGCACAUCUCAGAGCAGGUAGCGCUACCUGGUGAGUUGAGGGCUCUGUCCAUCAUCUUUGUCACUGUAAUGCUGGGUAACAAAUAAACACGAAACAAUGA